UACGUAGGGUGCAGGCGUUAAUCGGAAUUACUGGGCGUAAAGCGUGCGCAGGCGGUUUGCUAAGUCAGGUGUGAAAUCCCCGGGCUUAACCUGGGAACUGCGCUUGUUACUGGCAAGCUAGAGUGUGGCAGAGGGGGGUGGAAUUCCAGGUGUAGCAGUGAAAUGCGUAGAUAUCUGGAGGAACACCGAUGGCGAAGGCAGCCCCCUGGGCUAACACCGACGCUCAUGCACGAAAGCGUGGGGAGCAAACAGG
rnacentral:rRNA from 1 species